UUGGGUUGGAAUUUUGAUUUUGGACUUUGAGAGUAUGGUGUUCUCACGUCGUCGUAAACGAGCCAGGAAAAAGGCGAUCACGUUUUAAAUUUUUAUGCUUCAGAAGUUUUGGUAUUUUCUGGAAUAUCGUCGUUCAUUCAAACCAAAAUUGGCCAUAGCAACAUAAAAUACGAUGUACACAUCUACUUCAAACCAAUAAAAUUAUCAUCGGUAAUAAUUCAAAUUGGCACACAUAAAAUCACUGAAUUAUAGAAGCAUUUCAAAAACUGGAUAAUAGAAAUAAUUUACCACAUGUGGAGCAAUGAAAGGCGUACAUCCAGAUUUUCCAUUUAAUGUUUAAGUAAUAUUUUAUAUUAAUCUUAUAGUAGGGGGUUUAUUUUUGGGAUUUAGUUUUACUGUUUAAUUUAACGUUAGUUAAUUCAAUUCGUUCCUCCCGAUAACUGUAAACUAUUGAAACUGAAAUUAGGUUGAUUUGUCUGUAAAUGGAGGUGGUAAUUUUAUAAUUUUAUGGAAAAAUGAAUUAAUAAAUUUGCACAAUGUACUUAAUGGGUUUUAGAGCGUUUAUUUUAUUUUAUUAACGUUUACACCUCAUUAGGGGGUACGUCCCUGAUGAUAAUCUAACUAAUAAUUUACGCUGUACUUUUUUUAAACAACUAACCCAACUUAAUACUUAAUGGCUUUAAAUGCUUAUCUAUAACUUAUGUUUAUCUAAUCAGUGCAAUAAUUUACAUUUUAAUAAAUUCCAGUUACCGAAAGAUCUCAAAGCAGCAAGAAUUAAAUAAUUUAUCAGAGUGAACAUUUUUAGUGCAAAAGGACCAUUAUUUUAAGUUUUAUUUCAUAUAUACAUAACUCAUACGCUUAUUUAUAAUAUUAUUUUAUAGGGACCGCAUAUAAUUGUUUAUAAUUAAAUUUUAGAUCACACUGCGACUUAAUCUGGGUUAAUUAACAAAAAUAUUAUCAAAACAAUAUUUAGUUUUUAGUUUUCAAAAGAUCUCACUUCGACACAUUCCGUUUCGUUUAUAAAAUAAAUUUCCACAAAAAUAUGAUUAAUACAGAAUAUAUUGACAA